GAUGAAGAACGUAGCGAAAUGCGAUAAGUAAUGUGAAUUGCAGAAUUCAGUGAAUCAUCGAAUCUUUGAACGCACCUUGCGCCCUUUGGCUAUUCCGAAGGGCAUGCCUGUUUGAGUAUCAUGAACACCUCAACCCUCAUGGUUUGCCAUGAUGGGCUUGGACUUUGGGGGUCUUGCUGGAUUGUAGUCAGCUCCCCUUAAAUGAAUCAGCUUGCCAGUGUUUGGUGGCAUCACAGGUGUGAUAAAUUUCUACGCUUGUGGUUUUACAUCAGAUAACCUUCAGUGAUGGAGGUUCACUGGAGCUCAUAAAGGUGUCUCUCCUCUGUGAGGACAGCUCUUUGAAUGUUUGAUCUCAAAUCAGGAAGGACUACCCGCUGAACUUAAGCAUAUCAAUAAGCGGAGGA
rnacentral:misc_RNA from 1 species